rnacentral:rRNA from 1 species
CGCUGGCGGCACGCUUAACACAUGCAAGUCGAACGGAGUUCAGAGCUUGCUCUGAAACUUAGUGGCGGACGGGUGAGUAACACGUGAGCAACCUGCCUUCAAGUUUGGAAUAGCUUCUGGAAACGGAUGGUAAUACCGUAUAACGUUGCGCGGCCGCAUGACUGUGCAACCAAAGAUUUAUCGCUUGAAGAUGGGCUCGCGUCUGAUUAGCUUGUUGGUGAGGUAACGGCCCACCAAGGCGACGAUCAGUAGCCGGACUGAGAGGUUGAACGGCCACAUUGGGACUGAGACACGGCCCAGACUCCUACUGGAGGCAGCAGUGGGGAAUAUUGCACAAUGGGCGGAAGCCUGAUGCAGCGAUGCCGCGUGGAGGAAGAAGGUUUUCGGAUUGUAAACUCCUUUUGUCAGGGACGAUAAUGACGGUACCUGAAGAAAAAGCUCCGGCUAACUACGUGCCAGCCGCAGC